UACGGGGGGAGCAAGCGUUGUUCGGAUUUACUGGGCGUGAAGGGCGCGUAGGCGGUUCUUUAAGUCAGGCGUGAAAGCCCUGGGCUCAACCUGGGAGUGGCGCUUGAUACUGGAGGACUAGAGAGUGGGAGAGGUUGGUGGAAUUCCCAGUGUAGAGGUGAAAUUCGUAGAUAUUGGGAAGAACACCGGUGGCGAAGGCGGCCAACUGGACCAUUUCUGACGCUGAGGCGCGAAAGCGUGGGGAGCAAACAGG
rnacentral:rRNA from 1 species